GAUCUCGCAUUUAAAAAUCCUAUACUCAAAUUUUAAAGAUUAUUCAAUUUCCACCGUCCAUGUUUACAUAAUUUAUUUACUUAGUAAACGAUGUCGAAAAAAACUAAAAUUUUAUUCCUAAGAACUUCAUAUACCCUAGAUCAUAUUUAACAGUGUGUAUCAUUAAUUUAAACAUCCUAAGAUCGAAAACAAGACUAUAGUACCGAAACUCCGGUACUAUAGAUUGUAUAG
rnacentral:lncRNA from 1 species